UACGUAGGGGGCAAGCGUUGUCCGGAAUCACUGGGCGUAAAGCGCGCGCAGGCGGCGAUCUACGUCUGGGGUGAAAGCCCCGGAGCUCAACUCCGGGACUGCCUUGGAUACGGGAUCGCUUGAGGAUUGGAGAGGCAAGGGGAAUUCCACGUGUAGCGGUGAAAUGCGUAGAUAUGUGGAGGAACACCUGUGGCGAAGGCGCCUUGCUGGCCAAUUUCUGACGCUGAGGCGCGAAAGCGUGGGGAGCAAACAGG
rnacentral:rRNA from 1 species